rnacentral:tRNA from 1 species
GCUCAAGUAGCUUACCACUAAAGCAUUGUUCUUGUAAACCAAAGCCGGAUCACAUCCCUAGAGCA